rnacentral:rRNA from 1 species
UGGGGAAUAUUGGACAAUGGGCGCAAGCCUGAUCCAGCCAUGCCGCGUGGGUGAUGAAGGCCCUAGGGUUGUAAAGCCCUUUCGGCGGGGAAGAUAAUGACGGUACCCGCAGAAGAAGCCCCGGCUAACUUCGUGCCAGCAGCCGCGGUAAUACGAAGGGGGCUAGCGUUGCUCGGAAUCACUGGGCGUAAAGCGCACGUAGGCGGAUCGUUAAGUCGGGGGUGAAAUCCUGGAGCUCAACUCCAGAACUGCCUUCGAUACUGGCGAUCUUGAGUCCGGGAGAGGUGAGUGGAACUCCGAGUGUAGAGGUGAAAUUCGUAGAUAUUCGGAAGAACACCAGUGGCGAAGGCGGCUCACUGGCCCGGUACUGACGCUGAGGUGCGAAAGCGUGGGGAGCAAACAGGAUUAGAUACCCCGGUAGUCC